rnacentral:lncRNA from 1 species
AAGGCUAAAAGGGUACAAAGGGAUCUUGGUAUCCACGUGUCGGCUAUUGAUUGGCUAAUGUAAACAGUUAACAGACGUUACUUGCGAUGCAACUGAAGAAAAAGAAGGUUUAUUCUUUGGGUGAAAUCAUCAUCACACCCCACCUUUAUUGAAUUAAAGAGUCCGUACCGUGCGCGGGAAGGGUUUAAUCCACGUGACUAUGUGAGGAUUACGUUGCUUCAUUCAUCGUAAUGUCACGUGCCAUGUCUGCCGGAA